rnacentral:rRNA from 1 species
UAAUACGUAGGGUGCGAGCGUUAAUCGGAAUUACUGGGCGUAAAGUGUGCGCAGGCGGCCGAGCAAGUCGAGUGUGAAAGCCCCGGGCUUAACUUGGGAAUUGCGCUCGAAACUACUUGGCUGGAGUGUGGCAGAGGAAGGUGGAAUUCCACGUGUAGCGGUGAAAUGCGUAGAGAUGUGGAGGAACACCGAUGGCGAAGGCAGCCUUCUGGGCCAACACUGACGCUCAUGCACGAAAGCGUGGGGAGCAAACAGGAUUAGAUACCCUGGUAGUCCACGCCCUAAACGAUGUCAACUGGUUGUUGGACGGCUUGCUGUUCAGUAACGAAGCUAACGCGUGAAGUUGACCGCCUGGGGAGUACGGCCGCAAGGUUG